GUCUACGGCCAUACCACGUUGAAAGCACCAGUUCUCGUCCGAUCACUGGUUAGUAUUUGGAUGGGUGACCGCCUGGGAACACCGAGUGCUGUAGACU
rnacentral:rRNA from 1 species